UGAUGCGACGUGUGCUCCUCUACAGCGCAGAAGAAAAGGAAUUAGUAUUCGCGAGAAGGAUGCGUCUCUCGAUCCCGCACCCCCUCUCGUUGGUGCCCGUUACACACCUCGAUUCACACGAGCGAAAAAGGCGUGUCGGACCAACAACAGCAGCAGCAAUGCAGACGAGGAAGUGUUGUACUGUACUUUGACAGACUUCUCUACUCGCUUCACCCCCUUUUCUGUUUGGACGCGUGCAGAGAGAAAGACGGUGAGUCACACAGACACACACGCACUUACACAUCGAGGGAGUAAGGGAAAGAGACGGAGAGCGGAAAAGAUCGCAGCACGUCGCGAGAGGUGGCCGUGGCACCGAGCGACGGGUCGUCGCAAGUUGUUCGUCAUGGUCGAAGGGAAAAGCUGCGCAAAUAGUGAGAAUGCACUUGUGCGGCGACUGACAUCAUUCCACACUCGUUUUCUUCCAUCUGUUGGUGCGCGGCACUAUUGCCGCGUAUCAUCUUCUGUUGCGUGUGCGGUAUGCGUCUACCCCUUGGCCAUCCGCAUCACGCUUGCGUCUUCCUCGCACUCCGUUCUCUUCAGCUCGGACCGCGUUUCUUCUCACUGCUGCGCUGCCUGACCAUGCGCCAUCCGUGUGGAGAGGGCGGGGUGGCAGCGGUGAUUCAAGGAGGGACGUGCGGAGGGCCGUGUUGACUCUGGCUUCGCGGUGUUUGCGCAUUCACUGAACGACGGCGGUCACGAGCAGUGAAACAAACG
rnacentral:misc_RNA from 1 species